GACGAACGCUGGCGGCGUGCUUAACACAUGCAAGUCGAACGAUGUGGCGAACGGGUGAGUAACGCGUAAUCAACCUGCCCUUCAGAGGGGGAUAACAGUUGGAAACGACUGCUAAUACCGCAUACUGAAGGAGGUGAUUGCGUCUGAUUAGCUAGUUGGCGGGGUAACGGCCCACCAAGGCGAUGCUCAGUAGCCGGUCUGAGAGGGUGAACGGCCACACUGGGACUGAGACACGGCCCAGACUCCGACGGGAGGCAGCAGGUGGGAAUCUUCGGCAAUGGACGAAAGGCUGACCGAGCAACGCCGCGUGAGUGAAGACGGGCUUCGGGUUGUAAAGCUCUGUUGAUCGAGACGCGGUACCGGAAUAGAAAGCCACGGCUAACUACGUGCCAGCAGCCGCGGUAAUAC
rnacentral:rRNA from 1 species